GAUGAACGCUAGCGGCAGGCCUAAUACAUGCAAGUCGAACGAGAUUACGAGGCUUGCUUCUUAUGAAAGUGGCGCACGGGUGCGUAACGCGUAUGCAACCUACCUUAAUCAGGGGGAUAGCCCGAAUAAAUUCGGAUUAAGACCGCAUAAAAACACAGUAUAGCAUUAUCCAAUGUUCAAAUAUUUAUAGGAUUAAGAUGGGCAUGCGUGUCAUUAGCUAGUUGGCGGGGUAACGGCACACCAAGGCGACGAUGACUAGGGGAUCUGAGAGGAUGACCCCCCACACUGGUACUGAGACACGGACCAGACUCCUACGGGAGGCAGCAGUAAGGAAUAUUGGGCAAUGGAGGGAACUCUGAACCAGCCAUGCCGCGUGCAGGAAGACAGCCCUCUGGGUCGUAAACUGCUUUUAUUCGGGAAUAAACCUUUUUACGUGUAGGAAGCUGAAUGUACCGAAGGAAUAAGGAUCGGCUAACUCCGUG
rnacentral:rRNA from 1 species